rnacentral:RNase_P_RNA from 1 species
CCAGCAGACCGCCUUAUCGCCGUGUAGUAGAAUAAAUACACUACACGGAGGAAAGUCCGGACACCACAGAGCAGCAUAGCGGCUAACGGCCGUCACCCUAAAGUGAACUCGUUUUACUUUGGGGGAGGACAAGUGCAACAGAAAGCAAGUACAGGUAAGGCUGUAGUGAAAUCAGGUAAACUCUAUGCGGUGAAAUGCCAUGUAAACCUGCGUUUGAGAGCUGCUCGCGCGAUGCAGGAGGGUAGGCAGAUAGAAGGGUGCAGUAAUGUACACUCCAGAUAAAUGAUAAGGGCCCAGAAGUAGAACAAAGUUCACUUCUGGAGCACAGAAUCCGGCUUACAGGUCUGCUAUUUUU